rnacentral:rRNA from 1 species
GAUGAACGCUGACAGAAUGCUUAACACAUGCAAGUCAACUUGAACUUCGGUUUGGGUGGCGGACGGGUGAGUAACGCGUAAAGAACUUGCCCCACAGAUAGGGACAACAUUUGGAAACGAAUGCUAAUACCUGAUAUUAUGAUUUUAGGGCAUCCUAGGAUUAUGAAAGCUAUAUGCGCUGUGAAAGAGCUUUGCGUCCCAUUAGCUAGUUGGAGAGGUAACGGCUCACCAAGGCGAUGAUGGGUAGCCGGCCUGAGAGGGUGAUCGGCCACAAGGGGACUGAGACACGGCCCUUACUCCUACGGGAGGCAGCAGUGGGGAAUAUUGGACAAUGGACCAAGAGUCUGAUCCAGCAAUUCUGUGUGCACGAUGAAGUUUUUCGGAAUGUAAAGUGCUUUCAGUUGGGAAGAAAAAAAUGACGGUACCAACAGAAGAAGUGACGGCUAAAUACGUGCCAGCAGCCGCGGUAAUACGUAUGUCACAAGCGUUAUCCGGAUUUAUUGGGCGUAAAGCGCGUCUAGGUGGUUAUAUAAGUCUGAUGUGAAAAUGCAGGGCUCAACUCUGUAUUGCGUUGGAAAACUGUGUAACUAGAGUACUGGAGAGGUAAGCGGAACUACAAGUGUAGAGGUGAAAUUCCUAGAUAUUUGUGGGAAUGCCGAUGGGGAAGCCAGCUUACUGGACAUAUACUGACGCUGAAGCGCGAAAGCGUGGGUAGCAAACAAG